rnacentral:tRNA from 1 species
GUGGUUGUAGCUCCCUGGUAGAGUGCUUGCCUGGAGUGCUGGAAGCCUUGGGUUCAAAUCCCAGCACUGCU